rnacentral:tRNA from 1 species
UCACUGGUGGUCCAGUGGUUAAGACUUUGGGCUUGCAACACAGGGGGCCCAUGUUCAGUCCCUGGCCAGAGAA